rnacentral:rRNA from 1 species
UACGUAGGAGGCGAGCGUUGUCCGGAAUUACUGGGCGUAAAGAGCGCGUAGGCGGCGCGGUACGACUUGUGUGAAAGCCCCGGCUCAACUGGGGAGGGUCAUGAGUAACGGCCGUGCUGUGAGUGCAGGAGAGGGAAGUGGAACUCCGGGAGUAGCGGAUGAAAUGCGUAGAGACCCGGAGGAACACCAGUGGCGAAGGCGGCUUCCUGGUCUGCAACUGACGCUGUGGCGCGGAAAGCUAGGGGGAGCAAACGGG